rnacentral:rRNA from 1 species
ACUGUGAGGUAGAGCGACUGAUAAGAUGCGAGGGCUUCACCGCCUAUCAAGUCUUGAUAAACUCCGAAUGCGCAGUAGUUCGAUCCCAGGAGUGAGGGCAUGGGUGCUAAGGUCCAUGUCCUAAAGGAGAAGAAUCCGGACCAUCAGCUAAGGUCCCGAAAUAAUUGCUAAGUUGAACUAACGAAGUCAGAUUGCUAAGACAGCUAGGAUGUUGGCUUGGAAGCAGCCAUUCAUUUAAAGAGUGCGUAACAGCUCACUAGUCGAGGAGUUUGGCGUGGAUAAUAAUCGGGCAUCAAGCAAUUUACCGAAGCUAUGGGAUCAGUAAUGAUCGGUAGGGGAGCAUUCCACUCUGCGUCGAAGGUGAAGCGUGAGCUUUGCUGGAGCGUGUGGAAAAGCAAAUGUAGGUAUAAGUAACGAUAAAGGGGGUGAGAAACCCCCUCGCCGAAAGACUAAGGUUUCCUGAUCAACGCUAAUCGGAUCAGGGUUAGUCGGGUCCUAAGGCUCAGCCGAACGGUGAGGCCGAUGGCAGAACAGGUUAAUAUUCCUGUACUACCUUAAGGAGUGACGUGGAGACGGAGCAGUGAUAGCGCCGCGGACUGACGGAAUAGUCCGUUGAAGGGUGUAGAUGUUGAUCUUUGCAGGCAAAUCCACAAAGAGAGUCGAACCUGAUAGUAUGGAACGUUCUUCGGAACAAUCCAAUAGUGCGUGUAAACAUACUCCCAAGAAAAUCCGCUAAACUUAAUCUUUAAGGUACCCGUACCGCAAACGGACACACGUAGUCGGGUUGAAUAUACUAAGGCGCUUGAGUGAUUCACGGUUAAGGAACUAGGCAAAUUGACCCUGUAACUUCGGGAUAAAGGGUCCCAACGAGAGUUGGGCGCAGAGAAUAGGUCCAGGCAACUGUUUAACAAAAACACAGGGCUGUGCCAAAUUGAAAGAUUACGUAUACAGCCUGACACCUGCCCGGUGCUGGAAGGUUAAGAGGAGAUGUCAUCGCAAGAGAAGCAUUGAAUUGAAGCCCCAGUAAACGGCGGCCGUAACUAUAACGGUCCUAAGGUAGCGAAAUUCCUUGUCGGGUAAGUUC